GAUUACAGUACGCUUAUUUUUUCGAAUAUCUCAUCCCCCAAGUAAGAAAAAGGUUUAAGAGUAAUGGAAACGCCACACUUCCGGGUCACACUUCCGGCGGUAGUCCUAUCAGAUCGCUUCCAUUCGCUAGCCCAUGCUACAGCAGCCACUAGCCUGCUCCGUUGCGGACAGCUGCCGAGCACGGCUGCACUGAAGCAUGCUAUUGAUGGGUCACGGCAAGAAGCUGAUGGUGAACACCGAGAAGAUUGAAGUGUUUCAGAGGUUUAAAAUGUCCGGAAAGGAGCAGCACAGUCUUUCGGAUAUAAACUUAUGGAAAAGAUGGCAAGGUGAAGGAUACAGGAUGAGUGUCGACGCUUCUCCAGAUGGUGUUUGCACUGUGGGAUGAGGUAGUAGGUUGUGUAGUUUUAGGGUCACACCCACACUGGGAGAUAACUAUACAGCCUACUGUCUUUCUCAGGGUGGCGAGGGAGCACCUGCACAUCUCAUCGUGUGUUGGGAAUGCAGUAUCAUAAGAUAUAGGGGUGAAUAAAACCCAAUUAGUUGAUGGACGUCGACGUUCAUGCCUGUUAAAAGAUUAUGCUUUCACAGUGUGAGGUAGUAGAUUGUAUAGUUGUGGGAUAGUGAUUUUAUCCUGUCUGGAAGAUAACUAUACAACCUAUUGCCUUCCCUGAGGGGCGGAGAUUCACAGUCAGUUUACCUCUUUAAAAUGAACUGUUUGUUAACGAAUAAAUAUAUUAUUUUAUUUGUGUAUGUAAGUGCUUGUGUGUUUCUGAAUUAAUAAAUGCCAUUCAUUGUGUCUCAUGGCCUAUUAUCUGUUUUGUAAGUGUUUUUUUUUUUUUUUUUUUUUUUUUUUUUUUUUUUUUUAAAUUAUGCUAUAAUGACUGAUAAUCUGCACACACAGUAAUAUGAAUAUGAAUCCAUCCGAAAAGUAAAUCCGUGAAAACCCAUUAGACUACAAUAGAGGAUGCAAUUUUCCUGAAGAUUUCAGUAUGUGUUUAAAACAUUUGUGCAGUGUUAGUGCUCCAGUGUUCAGUAAUCCAGGUUUAUCUUGCUCGGGUAGUUUAACAGAGCAAGGGUGUAUAUGAAUUGAGUAAUUGUGAUUUACCCAGUGGUGUUGGGGGACUGUCGAUUCCAGCUUUUUUCCGGGAGAUGGCGCUCUUUAAUUAUUUAUCAUAAUCCAGACGACGAAUGCAGCGUGUCACGUAAAGGCUAUACUCUUAAAAUUGAAAAGAGCUAGGUCAUACAGUAUUAUUAUACGAUGUCUGUUUAGGCCCCAUUUAAUUACUGCACUUGUAUCUUGUCAGUUUGUAAACCAAGGAGCAUAUCCAGUAGGCCUAUAAUAUUGGCAAUGUUAUAAAAUAUUACAACCUUUAUGGGAGGUCAUCCAUGAGAUCCAUUGGAUUAUUUGGCUUUCCUCCUGCCUGAGGGACAAUUAUUGUGUAGUUUGUACAUUCACACUAUUAAAAGCAAACAGCUCAAGACUGGAAACUCCAUCAGUUUUACAGAUGUCGUCAUUUCACCCAGACUGAAGAUUAAAUAGAAAUUUGCAAGCAGAUGGGUUGUACUGUAGAUAAAAAUCUAAGAUUUCAACACCUUAAAUCGUUGUGCUGACAAACUACUAUUAGUCUGAACGCAGUCUCGUUGCCUGUAUUCAUUGCUUUAGUGGAGAAGGAUCCUUUUCAUUUCCAGUGCUCUUUUGCACAGUAAUUUGUAUUAAACGUACUUGACAAGAUACAAGAUCUUUAAUGUCAUAUGCACAAGGUUCUUCACUAAGCAACGUGAUGCUGCAGUAGAACAUAUAGGCGAGAAAAGAAAGAAAGAAAAAAAGACAGUAAAUUAGCCUAAUAAUAGAUACAUAUUUGUGACAGGAGUUAUAUACCUUAUAAACUG
ensembl:lncRNA